UGCAGCACAUUAUUACGAAUUAAUAAAUCUUUGCCUCACUGUCUGGUUCACACGUAUUCAUCCCCAGUCCUCACUGUUCCACCUCCAUUUUCUCCCCCAACUCUGGAAUCCAAAUCUGGUUGCUGCCGCCGCUCCCGAAAACCAAAUCGCCGCCGUUCUUGCUGCUCUCGUUCCUCCACAACUGGCGAUUGAGAUGCUGCUAUGGGAGGACAUUCACUUAGACGGAGGGCGUACUGAUGCUAGGCUUUAGUUUGGAUUGGUCCUGCAAUUUUGCAUCAGCGCGGCCGGCGGUCUGCGAGUCCUGUACUUGGAAGAGAUUAAGGCGUUGCUGCCUGUUGUUUGUUGGACUUGGUGAAGUCAUGUCAAUGAAUUGGUAUCAGUUUGUCUCAUCUUCCUUUGAUUUUCUUCUGCCUAGCUCCCGGCGUCGGAAAAUUUGAUGUUUCAAAUCCGAGUGGCCGUUAGUCUGUGAGGCUUCUAUUUGGAGGAGAUUAAGCUGUUGGUUGGACGCGUGAGGACAUGGUCAUAAAUUGGUAUCAGCUGCUCUCAGCUUUCUUUGACUUUCUAAUGCCUAGGUAGAACUGUUUGGUUAGCUUGCAUUUUUUUUCUGUUUCCAGAUGUAUAUAGGUUAUUCCAUAUUUAUGUUGAUCCAUAGUAGUACUUAAUUGUUUGCUGAAGCUUGAAAGUUUUUUAAUUAUUAGUGAUAUAUGUGUAUGUCUACCAAAACCAAUAUACCCUAUAAUAUAGUUAUGUUUUGUUAGCCGCAAAUGUGGUUUUUGUGAAUGGCCCCUCCAUUUUUUAUCCGGGAUUGGGACCGGCAUCGGCAGCAGAGGCGGAGGUAGAACUAUUCAUGGGUAUUCAAUGAAUACCCAAUGUUUUUUGCCAAAAAAAUCAGUAUUUAAGCUCCUAUAUGCAUGCAUAUAUAUGUUAGAGUUCUUUUGUACGUGUUUAACUCGUCUGUAGGGAAACUACGUGAUGUCCAGGCCAUCCCGAGUUCAGCCCCUCCAAUCUGGGCCAAAAUACCCAAUUUGGGCUUUCACCGCGCUGGUUUCCCUUGGUUUGGCCUGCAGCCAAUCGAAUCCAGCUCCUGGAAGCGACAAGAGGCAUCGAACGACACCGUCCAACGCGAACAGCUCCUCUUCCUCUUCAUUCCGCCCUUGCUCGGGAUCAAUCUCUUGCUCGCCGUCGCCAGACUCCCGGCGCCCGUCUGCCCUCCUGCUCGGCGCUCGCCACUCCCUGCCGGCUACCACGAAGGAUUAGGCGAACGGCGGGUCAGCGGCACACCUAAAUUCCGGCACGAUCGCUGCAGCACCAUACAAGAACCAGCAGUUCAUCAAUAUUGUCCGUCAGGCACUGCUGUCAGUGAGUGAAUUCACAAGAAGCGACCAGUUCACUGUUCACGCACGAUCUAAAAAAUGAAGCACAAGCAGCUGAUUUGAAACGUUUGUGGGAUAAAGCUGCAAAGAAACCAAAGAUAGUUACUGAGGUUGGAAGCCAAAACCAAGAUGAAAAUGUGAGCAAUCCUCCUUCCAAUGAAAAUGAUGUAUAGGUUUGACGCGAUGGAUGACUAUCAAAGUCGACGGAGAUUUACGUGAUCUGACAAUCCGUCGAAUGUUGAGCUGAUCUCUGGGAAGCACAGAGCCGCCGAAAAAGCGCCUACCUUGCUGCAAGGCCAAAAGCGAAUGUCAGCUCGCCGGAUGUUGAUGAUGAUAUCUAGGAAGCACGGAGACACCGAAAAUGCGCCUGGCUUGCUGCAAGGCCAAAAGUGUUGACGGAGAUUUACCUGAUCUCUGGGAUGUAUGGAUGACUCUCAGUUCACCAGAUGUUCACGAUGAUAU